rnacentral:lncRNA from 1 species
ACGCAAUAGAUGUUACUUUGGGAAAGAAGAAGCUUAUGGUGUAAUGUUAGCAUAUAUUGUCAUCUUCAGCUAUUUGGGAUUAUGGUAUGGCAGAAGUUCAUGAUGGAACAUUUCAUGAGCAAUAUGGUUUCAUCGGUUUACCCCUCAUGGCCUUUUUCUCUCUGCUGGUUAUGAAUUGUCUUGCAUUAGCCCUCAUGUUUUUGUAUCCAAAGUCGAUUGUGUAAUGUUUGAGAAUUGAAAUAUACUGAGAAGCUUUGCCUAGACACUUGCAAUAUAUUCUAAGGUUGUAUAUGUUUUAAUUCGAGAUAUAGUCUUUAGUUUCCUUGUCUCUGGGUUGUUAGGAUUUUGGAAUGAUUGGCAAAAGAUUACUUGGAGGCCGACGGUACUGUAAGACUUCAGUUUUGUGAUACUGUUAUAGUGUGCUAAUUUUGCUUACCUGUUUACUAGCUUACUUCAGGGUUUGCUUGCCUAAAGCCACAGGAGGUAUAAUCUUGAUAGAUAUCCAUGUAUAUUAUGAAAUAAGGCAAAGUCUUGUUGGGAUUUAUGUCAGAAACAGGGACAAACUGUGGAUUAGAUGGUUACAUGCCUCCUACAUGAAAGGAAUUGUGUUGUAGACUAUGGCCAUCCCUAAGCAGGCAUGUUGGAUGAUCAUAGCAGCUAGAGCUGUUUUAGCUCAAAUACCAGUUGAAUUCAAGACUGGUAAGAGCCUUAUGAGACAUUUAUUUGCAACAAUUGGAGGACAAUCCGAUUGCUGAGAUUAGUUAUGUUGGGAUAAGUUAU